rnacentral:rRNA from 1 species
UACGGAGGGUGCGAGCGUUGUCCGGAAUCAUUGGGCGUAAAGGGCGCGUAGGUGGCUUCUUAAGCGUGCGGUGAAAGCCUGGGCUCAACCCGGGUCGGCCGUGCGAACUGGGGGCUGGAGCACUGUAGAGGCAGGCGGAAUUCCGGGUGUAGCGGUGGAAUGCGUAGAGAUCCGGAAGAACACCGGUGGCGAAGGCGGCCUGCUGGGCAGUUGCUGACACUGAGGCGCGACAGCGUGGGGAGCAAACAGG